rnacentral:rRNA from 1 species
UACGUAGGGUGCGAGCGUUAAUCGGAAUUACUGGGCGUAAAGCGUGCGCAGGCGGUGAUGUAAGACCGAUGUGAAAUCCCCCGGGCUUAACCUGGGAACUGCAUUGGUGACUGCAUUGCUGGAGUAUGGCAGAGGGGGGGUGGAAUUCCACGUGUAGCAGUGAAAUGCGUAGAGAUGUGGAGGAAUACCGAUGGCGAAGGCAGCCCCCUGGGAUAACACUGACGCUCAUGCACGAAAGCGUGGGGAGCAAACAGG